rnacentral:tRNA from 1 species
AUGGAAAAUUGCAUUUUUGGAAUUUGCAAUAAUGUGAUGGGCGAACGACGGGAAUUGAACCCACGCAUGAUGGAUUCAUAAUCCACUGCCUUGAUCCACUUGGCUACAUCCGCCCCUUAUCCAGCUAAAGGAUUUUUUUUUCUUUUUUCCAUUGAUCAUUAUUCUAUUUAUUCUGACCUCCGUACUUCGAUCGAGAUAUUGGACAUAGAAUGCCACUCUUUAAAAAGGAAAAAAAAAGAAAUAUAG